rnacentral:rRNA from 1 species
UACGUAGGUGACAAGCGUUGUCCGGAUUUACUGGGCGUAAAGAGCGCGCAGGCGGUCGUUCAAGUCGAGUGUGAAAGCCCCCGGCUCAACUGGGGAGGGUCACUCGAUACUGAUCGACUCGAAGGCAGGAGAGGGAAGUGGAAUUCCCGGUGUAGUGGUGAAAUGCGUAGAUAUCGGGAGGAACACCAGUGGCGAAGGCGACUUCCUGGCCUGCUCUUGACGCUGAGGCGCGAAAGCCAGGGGAGCAAACGGG